AGAGUUUGAUCCUGGCUCAGGAUGAACGCUAGCGACAGGCUUAACACAUGCAAGUCGAGGGGCAGCAUGAACUUAGCUUGCUAAGUUUGAUGGCGACCGGCGCACGGGUGAGUAACGCGUAUGCAACUUACCUAUCAGAGGAGAAUAGCUCAUCGAAAGAUGAAUUAAUGCUCCAUAAAACAGGGGUCCCGCAUGGGAAUAUUUGUUAAAGAUUCAUCGCUGAUAGAUAGGCAUGCGUUCCAUUAGGCAGUUGGCGGGGUAACGGCCCACCAAACCGACGAUGGAUAGGGGUUCUGAGAGGAAGGUCCCCCACAUUGGUACUGAGACACGGACCAAACUCCUACGGGAGGCAGCAGUGAGGAAUAUUGGUCAAUGGCCGAGAGGCUGAACCAGCCAAGUCGCGUGAAGGAAGAAGGAUCUAUGGUUUGUAAACUUCUUUUAUACGGGAAUAAAGUGAGUCACGUGUGAUUUUUUGUAUGUACCGUAUGAAUAAGCAUCGGCUAACUCCGUGCCAGCAGCCGCGGUAAUACGGAGGAUGCGAGCGUUAUCCGGAUUUAUUGGGUUUAAAGGGUGCGUAGGUGGUCUUUUAAGUCAGCGGUGAAAGUUUGUGGCUCAACCAUAAAAUUGCCAUUGAAACUGGGAGACUUGAGUAUGUUUGAGGUAGGCGGAAUGCGUGGUGUAGCGGUGAAAUGCAUAGAUAUCACGCAGAACUCCGAUUGCGAAGGCAGCUUGCCAAGCCAUAACUGACACUGAAGCACGAAAGCGUGGGUAUCAAACAGGAUUAGAUACCCUGGUAGUCCACGCAGUAAACGAUGAUUACUAGGAGUUUGCGAUAUAAUGUAAGCUCUACAGCGAAAGCGUUAAGUAAUCCACCUGGGGAGUACGCCGGCAACGGUGAAACUCAAAGGAAUUGACGGGGGCCCGCACAAGCGGAGGAACAUGUGGUUUAAUUCGAUGAUACGCGAGGAACCUUACCCGGGCUUAAAUUGCAGACGAAUUACGUGGAAACUUGUAAGCCGCAAGGCGUCUGUGAAGGUGCUGCAUGGUUGUCGUCAGCUCGUGCCGUGAGGUGUCGGCUUAAGUGCCAUAACGAGCGCAACCCUUGCCGUUAGUUACUAACAAGUAAAGUUGAGGACUCUAGCGGGACUGCCAGCGUAAGCUGUGAGGAAGGCGGGGAUGACGUCAAAUCAGCACGGCCCUUACAUCCGGGGCGACACACGUGUUACAAUGGCGUGGACAAAGAGCAGCCACUUGGUGACAAGGAGCUAAUCUCCAAACCACGUCUCAGUUCGGAUCGGAGUCUGCAACUCGACUCCGUGAAGCUGGAUUCGCUAGUAAUCGCGCAUCAGCCAUGGCGCGGUGAAUACGUUCCCGGGCCUUGUACACACCGCCCGUCAAGCCAUGGGAGCCGGGGGUACCUGAAGUGCGUAACCGCGAGGAGCGCCCUAGGGUAAAACUGGUGACUGGGGCUAAGUCGUAACAAGGUAGCCGUACCGGAAGGUGCGGCUG
rnacentral:rRNA from 1 species